AGGAGCCGUGUGCGUAAAUAGCGCAAGCACGGUUCUGUGAGGGGAGUGGAACACAAUCUACCGUAAGGUAGAGAGGUUCCCUUCUACUCGAC
rnacentral:ncRNA from 1 species